rnacentral:rRNA from 1 species
GACGAACGCUGGCGGCGUGCUUAACACAUGCAAGUCGAACGAUGAAGAAGAGAAACGCGAACUUCGGUUCAAAUUUCACUUCGGAUUAGUGGCAGACGGGUGAGUAACUCGUGAGCAACCUACCUCUUACAAAGGGAUAGCCUCGGGAAACCGUGAUUAAUACCAUAUGACACAUUCAUAAGGCAUCUUAAGAAUGUUAAAGCUACGGCGGUAAGAGAUGGGCUCGCGUCCCAUUAGCUAGUGGGUGAGGUAACGGCACACCAAGGCGACGAUGGGUAACUGGGAGGAGAGGGUGCACGGUCACAUUUGAACUGAGACACGGUCCCAACUCCUACGCGAGGCAGCAGUGGGGAAUAUUGCACGAUGGAGGGAACUGUGAUGCAGCGACGCCGCGUGAGAGAUGCAGGAAUUCGUAUCGUAAAGCUCUGUUCUAUGGGAAGAAAAGGACUGUACCAUAGGAGAAAGCCCCGGCUAAAUACGUG